UUUAGAAUCAGUUUGGAAUACGGAUAAAUCUAAGAUCCGAAUCUAACGCGGAAGAUAAAAAAUUUCUCUCAAACAGAAGCAUGUUUCCAUAUCAAAUUCUUCCCUACUGAUCAGCAAAUCACCGAUCUCCGCUACACUCCAAUUCAAUUAUUUGUUAUUGCGAUGCGAUGUUUAACAAUUGAUUGAGAAACCCUAAUUCAAUUCCUCCUCACUGUGUGAUUUUACGUAGAUGAAGACAAUAGAUAAAGUGCAUGGGUUGCUGAUUGAUUUUGGGUGGUUUGGUUUCUAAUGAAUUAAAGUGUGGAUUUGAGGUCAUCCAAACUUGAACUUGAGAUUAUUCAGAAUCAGGUAUGUCGGGGUUUAUCAUAUGCAAGCCAAAAUGUAACACUCCAGCUCUUACGGUCCUGAUCUUUUAGUGUUGCUUCAGAAGCUCAACCUAGUUAAUGGAGUGCUUUUUACUGGGGGGUGGGCUAAAACGGGCUUGUACUACGAGGUUGUUGAGGGAAUUUUCAAGGUAUGAUUAUCUACUCCUCCACGUUCUGUGGUGAUUAUUCUGGUGUUGCUGCUACUUUUGUUUCACUUGUACAUCAACUGCCUUUGCAUUUUCUACUUCUGCUGAGAGCUCGGCUCUUUUAUGUAGAGUGAAUGUGUAUGUGCGAGAUAGCUGAGAGCUCAGUCCUGUAAUGUGCACUCUCAAGAUGUCUUUUCCAGACACCUUGAGAUUGAGGGGGAGUAAUAGAGUGAAUGUGUGUGUGGGAGAGCUGAGAGCUCAGUCAUGUAAGUGUGUGGUUAAUGUAAAUGAACCUUUUCAAUCAAUUCAAUUCAUCUGUUUCGCAAUGUA